CGGAUUUUUUGUUGGCAUAUUUCAUGAAGUUAGUCGGAGUCUUGAAUGUUUGAAGAAGAAGAGAUGAAGAUCGAAGACUCGAAGACUCAAAACAUGAAUGCACAAUGCUCGGUAAGUUUAAAUAUCAUUGAUGAUGAUUUAUAAAUGUUUAAAAGUGUUUGGAAGACUUAGGAUGGUUUUUAAAAUAUGAAUAUGGACAAACUGAGUUUUUCAAUGUGCUAGGACCGG
rnacentral:lncRNA from 1 species